rnacentral:rRNA from 1 species
AGCGAACGCUGGCGGCAGGCCUAACACAUGCAAGUCGAACGAACCCUUCGGGGUUAGUGGCGGACGGGUGAGUAACACGUGGGAACGUGCCUUUAGGUUCGGAAUAACUCAGGGAAACUUGUGAUAAUACCGAAUGUGCCCUUCGGGGGACAGAUUUAUCGCCUGUAGAGCGGCCGGCGUCUGAUUAGCUAGUUGGUGAGGUAAUGGCUCACCAAGGCUACGAUAAGUAGCUGGUCUGAGAGGAUGACCAGCCACAUUGGGACUGAGACACGGCCCAAACUCCUACGGGAGGCAGUAGUGGGGAAUCUUGCGCAAUGGGCGAAAGACUGACGCAGCCAUGCCGCGUGGAUGAUGAAGGUCUUAGGAUUGUAAAAUCCUUUCACCGGUGAAGAUAAUGACUGUAGCCGGAGAAGAAGCCCCGGCUAACUUCGUGCCAGCAGCCGCAGUAAGAC